AUGUUGUGAGUGUGUGAAAAAGCUUGCAGGUAACGAGGCUUCUGAUGUGGAAAUGUGGCGAACUGUUUGAGUCGGGAAAGCCGGAAACUUGAUUGGAAAGGAAGAACACAAAUUGUGAAGGACAAGGUUGCAUUGUGGAAAAUGAAUUCGUGGGUGACCUUUGUUUGGACUCAAUACAUCACUUGAGGACAAGCAAUGAGACAAGUUUUGGGUUGUGAUCGGUCACCAUUUCCAUUGAAUUCCCA
rnacentral:lncRNA from 1 species